ACAUUAAAAGGAUAAUUCAUCCCUGGCUGAAAAAGUGAGUUAACGGCCACCAUACCGGUCAGGCGAUAAGGCAGAUGAUAAAAAAACAGCUGAUUUGGUGAAACUCAUUCCAACUGGGAACAAGGACAAAUGUACAGCGGAUGCAACCAGUCAGGAGUUCUAUGAUAUGAUGCAUAAAGAGAGCUUCGACCAGAUAAAAGCAGUGGGAGAGAUGUGGAACAAAAACAAUGCAAAUGGUGACAUUGUAGCAGCAAUCGCAAAUAGAUGCGCAUCACAUCUUGGAUCAUGUUUCAAAAGAAUAUGUGAGUGAUAUUUGUUGGCUCAACGAACACAUGUGGAAAACCGAAGAGGGAAUAAUACAACAAAAUAAUGAAUGAACAGUGAGAAGAUGAUGAUUGUAUUAUUUUCUCAUCUAUUAACAAUAUGGUUUUCAUUUGCAUUAAUACAGAAAACAAAAUAGAUUCUUUUUUUCUGUAUUUUUAUUUUCUUCCAGAAUGUAUUGGAGUUGGUUCUGUAUUAAUGUGAAUAAAGAGCAAAUUGUAUAUGCACAAA